GAGACCCCUCCUGCCUGCGCCCCAUGGCAGCUUCCCCCACCGCGGCGGCAGAACUCCCGUCCGCUUUCGCCUCCAGCUUAGGCUGUGCGGGCACGGGCGGUCGCGGAGUCUGCCCUGUGUUCUUUGGAAAAUCCACUUGGAACAAUAGUUCGUCUUACAACGUGGGACCUCAAGAUGCAGCCUUCUCCUCCCUCUGGAACUGGAAUCGGAGUUGUCCCCGCUGUCCUGCAGCUGCGAGAUGACGCUCCCCGGGCCCCUGGGUCACGUCGGUCCGAUUGGAGAUUCAGAGGACGGCGAACUGCUGACUCUGUUGUUAUCUUCUGAUGACGGAGUUUUGUCUUCUCCUGAGAGUCUUUGGCUGUCGAGACCGCUCGAAGGACCAGUUCUCCGGGUUGAUGUUCCCCGAGAUUCUCCUCGGGGCGGCCGUUCCCCGAGGUGGUGAAAUCUUCCCCGAGGGUUGCUGUUCCCUGGGUAUUUCCCUGGGGUUGCUGUUCCCCAAGAUAAUAAGGUUUUCUGUCUUCUCUUUGCCCUGAGCGUUUCACACCGAAGGCAGAGACGACACUGUGAGUCCAGCAGCUCAGGUUAUCAAGGUUGUUUAUUUCAUAUUAUCUAACAGUUCUUGUUCUGCUUUGCAAGGUGUCCCCAGCAAAGCAAGACACGCCGUUGGACUGGCGCUGGGCUGCCGCUGGACUGGGGCGGAUCAGAGAGCCCCGUACCUUAUGUACCGUACCCCCGACCCAACCACAGUCCAAGACGUAUUUAUUGUUUACAGAACAUUACCAAUACUAACUUGCUACGCUAACAUGUCAGUUCUAUUCUAAACCAAUCUCCAAAGUCCAAAUCAGCAAAAGAUGGGGGAUGAGAACAAGAACAAGGAGACUAGGGGCCACUCCCCAAUUCCUCCAUCUUGUCCUCUCAGCCCCGUAUACUAUGAAUCCUAAUCUCUAUAUUUAUACUCUAUGACAAACUACUAUCUACUUCAAAAUUCUUAGGAUCUGUGAUUCUUCCUUCAUGUGAGCAUUCACUUCCAUGGAUAGAAGCUAGAAUCAGAAUCCUUCUGGGCUCUGUGGGAGGCUGGCUGACCCCCUUGUACAGAUCCCAGACCCCCCUGUACAGCCCCCUGACUCUCCAGGGCUGUCAGAGGGAUCCCCUGGACUCCAACAUAAAACCUGGACCCCAGGCGGGGCCAAUUGGUGAACACUGGGGGACUGCAGUGCGACAGAGGCUGCUUUCCGUUCACCCUUUGACGAUCCC